GAUCUCGAUUUUUGAGAACCGGUUCACAACAUUAAGACCAUGCCUGCUCGUAAAUGUCUGUUAAACACUCAUUCGAUUAAAACCUCUUCGCAAAAGGAUCAGAUGGUGUUUUCAAUGUUUAUGUAUCAACUGGUUUUAUGUCUGUACUUUUAGAUACUUGUUGGUUUGUAUUCUUUGCAUAUCUAUUUAAAGACAUUUUCGCAUGUAUACGCAUGAAAAAGUUGCUACCUAAGUGUUGCAUAAUAAUAAUGAUAAUAACAAGAAUUUUGAUAAUAAUAAUGACCUAUUCUAUUUUCCUGAUGACAGAUAUAAAGAAUAUAUACAUAAUUCUCAUUACGGGAAGGGCCAAGGACCGAAUUACAUUGACAAACUUGACUGCAAGGGUUACUACAGCCAUAUCAACGAUUGCAAAUAUGUUGUUGACGAUAUCUACAAUCAAGAUCAUUCAGAUGAUGCAUCGGUAAUAUGUUAUGGACCAGAACUAAACAUAACAGGGUACAGACUGACUGAUGGUACAGGUGUUUUUGAUGGUCGUGCUGAAAUCAAGGUCAAUGAUACGUGGGGAACUAUUUGCGACAACAAUUUCAAUAUCCUUGCUGCAGAUUUAUUUUGCAAACAGUUUGGACUAAGAGCUGUGCGGUAUUUCACUGGUGCUGAAUAUGGAGAAGGCAGUGGACCAAUAUACAUUGAUCAGAUAUUUUGUCAGCUCUACAAUCAAGACUUCAGCAACUGCAAAUAUUUGUACUUGAAUUCCUGUACUCAUGAAAUGGACAUUUCUCUUGUUUGUAACGAAUGUGGCGAACCUGCGAUAUCAUUUUGGGGAGCUGGCUAUUUUAGAUUUAGUGGAUCUACU
rnacentral:lncRNA from 1 species